rnacentral:rRNA from 1 species
GUUAAGUCAGAUGUGAAAGCCCGGGGCUCAACCUCGGAAUUGCAUUUGAAACUGGCAAACUAGAGUACUGUAGAGGGGGUAGAAUUUCAGGUGUAGCGGUGAAAUGCGUAGAGAUCUGAAGGAAUACCGGUGGCGAAGGCGGCCCCCUGGACAGAUACUGACACUCAGAUCGCGAAAGCGUGGGGAGCAAACAGGAUUAUAUACCCUGGUAG